ACAAACCGUGACAAAUUGAACAGGAGAUUGUCCAUCCUGGCAGGCGGAGAGCUUUUAUGUGAAAUGUCACUAUCCUUUGCCAAUAGAACCUGUCUUCAGCCGACAUUUUGCUGCUCGACUGUUCUCUGCCUGACUGUCAGGACCUGAGUGAUAAUUGUGUAGAAAGUUCGGCCUCUUGUUCCUGUGGCAGUGCUUUCAAUGGAACCUUUGAGGUCUGACGUUGAGCCGUUCGUGACACCGUGAAGCUCAUCUUUGGAAGUGGAACCCGCCUGAAAGUUGUGGCAAAUCACGCAAUAACUGCCCCCAGUGUAUUCAUCCUACCGCCCUCUGCAACAGAUAUUGAGAGGGGGGGAAAUGUCAGCCUCGGCUGUUUGUUGACAUCUUUUUACCCGGAUUCGCUCAUUGUCACGUGGAAUGUAUCCAGCCAUUCUGUCAGCGAGAUCAAUUCCCUGCAGUUUGGACCGGCGGUGGGAGAGGGGAGCUAUUACAGCUUGGUCAGUCAAAUGAGGACCUCGUUAAAAAGCUGGGACGAUGGAAAUUCAUUUACCUGUCAAGCGGAUCUGGAAAAGUCCAAGAGAACGACAUCAGUCAUGACAAAAGAGCAAGCCAGAAAACUGCAACAGGAGUGUCUCCACGUGGAUUCUGAUGAUGAUGAAUCACCAAGUUCACUUCCAGUAAUUAUAUUAUUCUUGCGAAUCCUCUUUUUUAAAUCUUUGGUUUUCAAUGGGUUGAUGACUUCUACCAUAUGGGUCUCAAACUAAGGGUUUUCCCAUGAUGAACCAUCGCCAUUGAAUAUUUCAAUUUUCAAAACUUUCUUUGCAAAUCUGAUUUGUAAAUUUCAGGUUUUGAUCUUCAGUCUACUUUAAUACAUUUUAACAAUAUUUCGCUUCUGAUCUGUGUUUAAGAAGUAUUGAAAAUAAUUCCUCAUUUUUAAAGAUUGAUAUAAUUUUUUUAAAUGAUAUAUUAAUUUGUUGGUAGAUAUUGGUCAAACUAAUGUUGAAGGUAGUAUUGUAUGAAAAUCUCUGCAAAAUAUUGUUGCUAUAAAAGAUUAUUCUUCAGGUUCUAAAUAGUGCACCAUAGGUAGAUUCAUAAAAGCAUAUUGUUGUAAAUACUGAAAAUAUUCCUUAAAUGUGAUACAAAUUGGAAAUAUCCAUUCUAAAACAUAUAAUAUUCACAUGGUAUCCUUUAAUAUUGAAAAACUUUAGGCUCACAUUCUAAUGAUGGGUAUUCUGGAUCAUAGAACAAAGCUUUUCAGUUACAAAUAUACAGACUUCCAGAAUAUGUGUCCUGUGUUAUUUCAUAGAAUCAUUGAAUAGUUACUGCACAGAAGGCCAUUCAUAUUUUUGUGUCCAUGCUGGCUGUCUGUAAGGGCAGCCACCUAGUCCCACUCCCCCACCUAGUCCCACUCCCCCAGUUAGUCCCAUUCCCCCACUUAGUCCCACUCCCCCACUUAGUCCCCUUUUCAGAUAAUGAUCCAGUUCCUUUUGAAUGCCACAGAUGAAUCUACCAGACUCUCAGGCAUCAACUUGCAUUUAUGCAGUACUUUUAAUGUACAAAAAUAUCCCAAGGGGCUUCACAGGAGUGUGACCAAACAAAACAUUGACAUUCAGUCAAAUAUUAGCAGCUAAAAGCUUGUUGAAGAG